AACGAACGCUGGCGGCAUGCCUAACACAUGCAAGUCGAACGAGACCUUCGGGUCUAGUGGCGCACGGGUGCGUAACGCGUGGGAACCUGCCCUUAGGUUCGGAAUAACUCCCCGAAAGGGGUGCUAAUACCGGAUAAUGUCUUCGGACCAAAGAUUUAUCGCCUUUGGAUGGGCCCGCGUUGGAUUAGCUAGUUGGUAGGGUAAAAGCCUACCAAGGCGACGAUCCAUAGCUGGUCUGAGAGGAUGAUCAGCCACACUGGGACUGAGACACGGCCCAGACUCCUACGGGAGGCAGCAGUGGGGAAUAUUGGACAAUGGGCGAAAGCCUGAUCCAGCAAUGCCGCGUGAGUGAUGCAGGCCUUAGGGUUGUAAAGCUAUUUUACCCGGGAUGAUAAUGACAGUACCGGGAGAAUAAGCGCCGGCUAACUCCGUG
rnacentral:rRNA from 1 species